rnacentral:rRNA from 1 species
CAACCAAAGCUGACGACCGGCGCACGGGUGAGUAACACGUAUCCAACCUGCCUCAUACUCGGGGAUAGCCUUUCGAAAGAAAGAUUAAUAUCCGAUAGCAUAUAUUUCCCGCAUGGGUUUUAUAUUAAAGAAAUUCGGUAUGAGAUGGGGAUGCGUUCCAUUAGUUUGUUGGGGGGUAACGGCCCACCAAGACUACGAUGGAUAGGGGUUCUGAGAGGAAGGUCCCCCACAUUGGAACUGAGACACGGUCCAA